AUGAACAAAAACAUAUAAUGUUGCUCUUGACCAAAGAACUGAAACUUUAUUGCUUUUGUGAAAAUGGUAAGAAUUGGAGCAUGGGUCGGAGGCAAUUGAUUUGUCUUGGUAGGGUACUACUUAAGAGAAGGUGUUAGUGCUUGAUGAAGCUACUGCAUCAGUUGAUACUGCCACAGAUAAUUCGAUCAGCAAACUCUUCGGCAACACUUCUCUGACUGUACAGUCAUUACCAUUGCACAUAGAAUAACUUCUAUUCUUGAUAGUGAUAUGUUUCUUCUUCUCAAUCAAGGAAUGGUUGAGGGGUGUGACUUACCCUCAAGAUUGUUAGAGAACAAAUCAUCGUCUUUUGCCCAACUUGUAGUAGAGUAUACCAUGAGAUCCAAAUCCAGUUUAGACUAAGGAGCUUCUCACUGAUUAUUUAGUGAAAUAACAUAAGAUGGUUUCUAAGAUGAUGAGAAGAAUUUAGGGAAAUCUUCCCUCUGUGACAUAAAAAUCCUACACAGUUACUAUGUUUCACCUCAUGAUCAUUUGUUUGUAUACACUGAAAUCACUUGUUGAUUUUGUGUUAUUCUUAAAGCAGGUGCUCUCAAAA